rnacentral:rRNA from 1 species
UACGUAGGCAGCAAGCGUUGUUCGGAGUUACUGGGCGUAAAGGGUGCGUAGGCGGCUUUUUAAGUUUGGUGUGAGAUCUCCCGGCUCAACUGGGAGGGUGCGCCGAAUACUGAGAGGCUAGAGUGUGGGAGAGGAAAGUGGAAUUCCUGGUGUAGCGGUGAAAUGCGUAGAUAUCAGGAGGAACACCGGUGGUGUAAACGGCUUUCUGGACCAUAACUGACGCUGAGGCACGAAAGCGUGGGUAGCAAACAGG